GACGAACGCUGGCGGCGUGCUUAACACAUGCAAGUCGAACGGAAAGGCCCUGCUUUUGUGGGGUGCUCGAGUGGCGAACGGGUGAGUAACACGUGAGUAACCUGCCCUUGACUUUGGGAUAACUUCGGGAAACUGGGGCUAAUACCGGAUAGGAGCUCCUGCUGCAUGUGGGGGGUGGGAAGUUUCGGCGGUUGGGGAUGGACUCGCGGCUUAUCAGCUUGUUGGUGGGGUAGUGGCUUACCAAGGCUUUGACGGGUAGCCGGCCUGAGAGGGUGACCGGCCACAUUGGGACUGAGAUACGGCCCAGACUCCUACGGGAGGCAGCAGUGGGGAAUAUUGCACAAUGGGCGGAAGCCUGAUGCAGCAACGCCGCGUGCGGGAUGACGGCCUUCGGGUUGUAAACCGCUUUCGCCUGUGACGAAGCGUGAGUGACGGUAAUGGGUAAAGAAGCACCGGCUAACUACGUG
rnacentral:rRNA from 1 species